AUUGAACGCUGGCGGCAGGCCUAACACAUGCAAGUCGAACGGUAACAGGAAGCAGCUUGCUGCUUUGCUGACGAGUGGCGGACGGGUGAGUAAUGUCUGGGAAACUGCCCGAUGGAGGGGGAUAACUACUGGAAACGGUAGCUAAUACCGCAUAACGUCGCAAGACCAAAGAGGGGGACCUUAGGGCCUCUUGCCAUCGGAUGUGCCCAGAUGGGAUUAGCUAGUAGGUGGGGUAACGGCUCACCUAGGCGACGAUCCCUAGCUGGUCCGAGAGGAUGGCCAGCCAACCGGGAACUGAGGCAGCGUCCCAACUCCCAAGGGAGGCAGCCGUGGGGAAUAAUGGGAAAUGGGGGGAAGGCUGAUGCAGGCAUGGCGGGUGGAAGAAGAAGGCCCUUCGGGUGGUAAGUACUUUUAGGGGGGAGGAAGGGAAGAAAGUUUAUACCCUUGGUUAUUGGCGUUAACCGGAGAAGGAGCCCCGGCUAACUCCGUG
rnacentral:rRNA from 1 species